rnacentral:rRNA from 1 species
UACGUAGGGUGCAAGCGUUGUCCGGAAUUAUUGGGCGUAAAGAGCUCGUAGGCGGUCUGUCGCGUCUGCUGUGAAAACCCGGGGCUCAACCCCGGGCUUGCAGUGGAUACGGGCAGACUAGAGUUCGGUAGGGGAGACUGGAAUUCCUGGUGUAGCGGUGAAAUGCGCAGAUAUCAGGAGGAACACCGGUGGCGAAGGCGGAUCUCUGGGCCAUUACUGACGCUGAGGAGCGAAAGCGUGGGGAGCGAACAGG